rnacentral:rRNA from 1 species
AGCGAACGCUGGCGGCAGGCCUAACACAUGCAAGUCGAGCGCCGUAGCAAUACGGAGCGGCAGACGGGAGAGUAACACGUGGGAACGUGCCUUUAGGUUCGGAAUAACUCAGGGAAACUUGUGCUAAUACCGAAUGUGACCUUCGGGGGAAAGAUUUAUCGCCUUUAGAGCGGCCCGCGUCUGAUUAGCUAGUUGGUGAGGUAAAGGCUCACCAAGGCUACGAUCAGUAGCUGGUCUGAGAGGAUGACCAGCCACAUUGGGACUGAGACACGGCCCAAACUCCUACGGGAGGCAGCAGUGGGGAAUCUUGCGCAAUGGGCGAAAGCCUGACGCAGCCAUGCCGCGUGGAUGAUGAAGGUCUUAGGAUUGUAAAAUCCUUUCACCGGUGAAGAUAAUGACUGUAGCCGGAGAAGAAGCCCCGGCUAACUUCGUGCCAGCAGCCGCCGUAACAC